AACGAACGCUGGCGGCGCGCCUAAUACAUGCAAGUCGAGCGAGAAGACGUAGCAAUACGUUUGUAAAGCGGCGAACGGGUGAGGAAUACAUGGGUAACCUACCCUCGAGUGGGGAAUAACUAGCCGAAAGGUUAGCUAAUACCGCGUACGCUCCUUGGACUUCGGUUCAGGGAGGAAAGCGAUACCGUGGGUAUCGCGCUCUUGGAUGGGCUCAUGUCCUAUCAGCUUGUUGGGAGGUAACGGCUCACCAAGGCUUCGACGGGUAGCUGGUCUGAGAGGACGAUCAGCCACACUGGCACUGCGACACGGGGCCAGACUCCUACGGGGAGGCAGCAGUAAGGAAUAUUGCGCAAUGGGCGAAAGCCUGACGCAGCGACGCCGCGUGGGGGAUGAAGGU
rnacentral:rRNA from 1 species